AAAACGGGUUGGCUAUAGCCUUGGUGGGGGGCGUGGGCGAAGUUCGUCCGCCGGACUCGGAAUGGCCCCAGACUUUGCGGACGGCUUCCGUGUGCCAAAAAUAGGCCACGGGCAGAGCCGUGCCCAAAAAUCAGCCCCCGAAGGUCGGGGCGCCAAGACCCACCAGCGGAAAAAUGGCCAAAAAACGGGUGGGCUAUAGCCUUGGUGGGGGGCGUGGGCGAAGUUCGUCCGCCGGACUCGGAAUGGCCCCAGACUUUGCGGGUGGCUUCCGUGUGCCAAAAAUAGGCCACGGGCAGAGCCGCGCCCAAAAACCAGCCCCCGAAGGUCGGGGUGCCAAGACCCCCCAGCGGAAAAAUGGCCAAAAAACGGGUGGGCUAUAGCCUUGGAGGGGGGCGUGGGCGAAGUUCGUCCGCCGGACUCGGAAUGGCCCCAGACUUUGCGGGCGGCCUCCGUGUGCCAAAAAUAGGCCACGGGCACAGCCGCCCCCAAAAAUCAGCCCCCGAAGGUCGGGGCGCCAAGACCCCCCAGCGGAAAAAUGGCCAAAAAACGGGUGGGCUAUAGCCUUGGUGGGGGGCGUGGGCGAAGUUCGUCCGCCGGACUCGGAAUGGCCCCAGACUUUGCGGGCGGCCUCCGUGUGCCAAAAAUAGGCCACGGGCACACCCGCGCCCAAAAAUCAGCCCCCGAAGGUCGGGGCGCCAAGAUCCCCCAGCGGAAAAAUGGCCAAAAAACGGGUGGGCGGGCUAUAGCCUUGGUGGGGGGCGUGGGCGAAAUUCGUCCGCCAGACUCGGAAUGGGCCCCGAAUUUGCGGGCGGCCUCCGUGGGCCAAAAUUAGGCCACGUGCACAGCCGCGCCCAAAAAUCAGCCCCCGAAGGUCGGGGUGCCAACACCCCCAAGCGGAAAAAUGGCCAAAAAACGGGUGGGCUAUAGCCUUGGUGGGGGGCGUGGGCGAAGUUCGUCCGCCGGACUCGGAAUGGCCCCAGACUUUGCGGGCGGCUUCCGUGUGCCAAAAAUAGGCCACGGGCAGAGCCGCGCCCAAAAAUCAGCCCCCGAAGGUCGGGGUGCCAAGACCCCCCAGCGGAAAAAUGGCCAAAAAACGGGUGGGCUAUAGCCUUGGUGGGGGGCGUGGGCGAAGUUCGUCCGCCGGACUCGGAAUGGCCCCAGACUUUGCGGGCGGCCUCCGUGUGCCAAAAAUAGGCCACGGGCACACCCGCGCCCAAAAAUCAGCCCCCGAAGGUCGGGGCGCCAAGUCCCCCCAGCGGAAAAAUGGCCAAAAAACGGGUGGGCGGGCUAUAGCCUUGGUGGGGGGCGUGGGCGAAGUUCGUCCGCCGGACUCGGAAUGGCCCCAGACUUUGCGGGCGGCCUCCGUGUGCCAAAAACAGGCCACGGGCACACCCGCGCCCAAAUAUCAGCCCCCGAAGGUCGGGGCGCCAAGACCCCCCAGCGGAAAAAUGGCCAAAAAACGGGUGGGCGGGCUAUAGCCUUGGUGGGGGGCGUGGGCGAAGUUCGUCCGCCGGACUCGGAAUGGCCCCAGACUUUGCGGGCGGCCUCCGUGUGCCAAAAAUAGGCCACGGGCACAGCCGCGCCCAAAAAUCUGCCCCCGAAUGUGGGACGCCAAGACCCCCCAGCGGAAAAAUGGCCAAAAAACGGGUGGGCUAUAGCCUUGGUGGGGGGCGUGGGCGAAGUUCGUCCGCCGAACUCGGAAUGGCCCCAGACGUUGCGGGCGGCCUCCGUGUGCCAAAAAUAGGCCACGGGCACAGCUGCGCCCAAAAAUCAGCCCCCGAAGGUCGGGGUGCCAACACCCCCCAGCGGAAAAAUGGCCAAAAAACGGGUGGGCUAUAGCCUUGGUGGGGGGCGUGGGCGAAGUUCGUCCGCCGAACUCGGAAUGGCCCCAGACUUU
rnacentral:lncRNA from 1 species